CCUACGGGAGGCAGCAGUGGGGAAUAUUGCACAAUGGGGGAAACCCUGAUGCAGCGACGCCGCGUGAAGGAAGAAGUAUUUCGGUAUGUAAACUUCUAUCAGCAGGGAAGAAAAUGACGGUACCUGACUAAGAAGCCCCGGCUAACUACGUGCCAGCAGCCGCGGUAAUACGUAGGGGGCAAGCGUUAUCCGGAUUUACUGGGUGUAAAGGGAGCGUAGGCGGUGCAGCAAGUCAGAAGUGAAAGCCCGGGGCUCAACUCCGGGACUGCUUUUGAAACUGGUGAACUAGAGUGCAGGAGAGGUAAGUGGAAUUCCUAGUGUAGCGGUGAAAUGCGUAGAUAUUAGGAGGAACACCAGUGGCGAAGGCGGCUUACUGGACUGUAAAUGACGCUGAGGCGCGAAAGCGUGGGGAGCAAACAGGAUUAGAUACCCUUGUAGUC
rnacentral:rRNA from 1 species